CAGCCGCCGCGGGAAUACGAAGGGGGCUAGCGUUGCUCGGAAUGACUGGGCGUAAAGGGCGCGUAGGCGGAUUGCGCAGUCAGAUGUGAAAUUCCUGGGCUUAACCUGGGGGCUGCAUUUGAGACGCGUAGUCUAGAGUGUGAAAGAGGGUCGUGGAAUUCCCAGUGUAGAGGUGAAAUUCGUAGAUAUUGGGAAGAACACCGGUGGCGAAGGCGGCGACCUGGUUCAUAACUGACGCUGAGGCGCGAAAGCGUGGGGAGCAAACAGGAUUAGAUACCCCGGUAGUCCCUGUCUCUUAUAC
rnacentral:rRNA from 1 species